UACAGAGGUCUCGAGCGUUGUUCGGAUUCAUUGGGCGUAAAGGGUGCGUAGGUGGCUUGGUAAGUCAGAUGUGAAAGCCCCGGGCUCAACCUGGGAACUGCAUUUGAGACUGCUCUGCUCGGGUGCGGAAGAGGGAAGCGGAAUUUCCGGUGUAGCGGUGAAAUGCGUAGAUAUCGGAAGGAACACCAGUGGCGAAAGCGGCUUCCUGGUCCGACACCGACGUUCAGGCACGAAAGCGUGGGGAGCAAACAGG
rnacentral:rRNA from 1 species